ACGCUCACUUCGGCAGCACAUAUACUAAAAUCGUAAUGAUACAGAGAAGAUUAGCGUGGGCCCUGCGCAAGGAUGACACGCAAAUUCCGUGAAGCAUUCCAUACUUUU
rnacentral:snRNA from 1 species